rnacentral:rRNA from 1 species
UGGGGAAUUUUGGACAAUGGGCGCAAGCCUGAUCCAGCAAUGCCGCGUGUGUGAAGAAGGCCUUCGGGUUGUAAAGCACUUUUUUUCGGAAAGAAAACCUCGUGGUUAAUACCCGUGGGGGAUGACGGUACCGGAAGAAUAAGCACCGGCUAACUACGUGCCAGCAGCCGCGGUAAUACGUAGGGUGCAAGCGUUAAUCGGAAUUACUGGGCGUAAAGCGUGCGCAGGCGGUUCGCUAAGACAGAUGUGAAAUCCCCGGGCUUAACCUGGGAACUGCAUUUGUGACUGGCGGGCUAGAGUAUGGCAGAGGGGGGUAGAAUUCCACGUGUAGCAGUGAAAUGCGUAGAGAUGUGGAGGAAUACCGAUGGCGAAGGCAGCCCCCUGGGCCAAUACUGACGCUCAUGCACGAAAGCGUGGGGAGCAAACAGG